GAAAUGCGAUAAGUAAUGUGAAUUGCAGAAUUCAGUGAAUCAUCGAAUCUUUGAACGCAUAUUGCACCUUCUGGUAUUCUGGGAGGUAUGCCUGUUCGAGCGUCAUUACGACCAACAAGCCUUGAGCUUGGUGUUGGAUGUUACCAUAGUAAGGUACAUCUUAAAAUCAAUGAGCAGUAUUCUUAGCUUCGAGUGGAGUAAUUUUAUCUCACUUUUGGAGCCUUAGAUGCUCUGCCGAAUAAUUAACUUUUCAUGGUUUGACCUCGGAUCAGGUAGGGAUACCCGCUGAACUUAA
rnacentral:misc_RNA from 1 species